rnacentral:lncRNA from 1 species
CUGUGUAGCCAUCAAUCUCUGUACAAAUAUGGACAUGAGCUUAGUGUGUGAGGAGAAAUCCCUUAAUGGUUCUCCAACCCCUCCUUCCAGUUCCUAGGGCACAGCCCCUUUAUGCCCGAGUGCUACAGCCCUUAUCUGUUCUAGUCCAUAUCUGUUCAGAACUGCACUUGAUGUACCAGCUACCUACCUGCCACUCUCCCCAACCUGAAAAUGCACAAAAGAGGGAACAAGAAAGUUUAUUUUUAAAAAAUCAAUUCUUGGUUUAGGAUUUGGGAUACAGGAAGAUCCUACCUCAUUCUUGUUUAUCCUUUCCUCUGUAGGUCUGGCGUGCUCCUGAUCAGAGUUACUCUGAUCUGAAGAUUUUGGCGUUCAAGGCAUUAAGAUAAUAGCCUGAGUUGUUCAUGGAGUUUUUCAUCAGUAUGUCUGAAACCAUUAAAUAUAAUGACGAUGAUCAUAAAACUCUGUUUCUGAAAACACUAAAUGAACAACGCCUGGAAGGAGAAUUUUGUGAUAUUGCUAUUGUGGUUGAGG